CUGAGUGAAGGAGCACUUUCUCCAGAUGGAACUGUAUUGGCCACAGCAAGUCAUGAUGGUUUUGUCAAAUUCUGGCAGAUCUAUAUUGAGGGGCAAGAUGAGCCGAGAUGUCUUCAUGAGUGGAAACCACAUGAUGGGAGGCCUCUUUCCUGCCUGCUCUUCUGUGACAACCACAAAAAACAAGAUCCAGAGUAAGGCCCCAGUCCUUUACUUUGCGUGUCAAAGUUCAGUAACAUCUUCUAAUGCUGACGUUGGGCUGUUCCUUGUAGUUGUCAUCUACUUGUAGACUUUAGCUUUGUGACUGGAGCAAGUCCUCUCUUCUUCAUACUAUGUUUUCUAGUGAUGGAGAAGUAGAGUGGACAAAGCACAGCCUAAAGUUACCUUAAUUCUAAUGCCUUCCAUGAAAGCAAGGACAGAUCUAAAUCAGUGAGUCUUUUCUGGUUUGUGGUUUUGCCUGGCCUGUUGUCUUUCAAAUUCCUAUUGCAGUUAUAUA